UGUGUGGUUCAGAAACCAAAGAACCUCUGAAUUUCCAAACAGAGAUCAACAAAACAGAGAUAUCAGAGUAUAUCACGGAGGAAUCUACAGCUGCAGAGGAACAAGAGGAAACCCAGUUUACUACACUGAUAUAAGUGAUCAUGUCACCAUUGAUAUAACCUUUUCCAUUAAAGUUGUUGUAAAACAACAACCCAACUGGCCUCAGUUAUUCAGAGGUGAGACAAUCACUCUGACAUGUGAGGUGCAGGAAGGAGGUAAAACCACUGGGUGGCUUUCUGAAUGGAGAGGACCCGGGACAGCUACACGGUUGAAACUCUAAUUUUUGGACAUUCGGAGUUUCUGAGUCCAGCAGUGGAGACUACAUGUGUAAGAAUCGACGUGACCGAUAUUCUUCAACCGAGUGGAGUGAAGCCAUCACAUUAUCAAUAUCAAAUCAACCAAAGGCUCAAAUAACGUCUGAUAUGAGAGACGUUCCAGUAGGGGGCAAUGUGACCCUGAAAUGUUCAGUGAACCCAUCAUCAUAUGGAUGGAAAUACUACUGGUGCAGAGAUGAGAACUAGUCUGAACCCCUGACCCCACAAGAUGCAGUUUUCCACUCAAAUGGACAAAUCACAGUCUCACAGAAAGGACUCUACAGAUGCAGAGGAGGCAGAGGAAACCCAGUUUACUACACAGAGGACAGUGAGCCCUUCAGCAUUGAUAAAAAUGAUUCUCUCCGGAUUCUCCAUCUUCUUCCCACGGUCCACAGAGUUGGAAACUGCAGGCAGCGCAACAUUUUUAAUCAGACAAAGAGCUUCACGUGAUGCUACGUCCAGUUCUUCAUUUCUUGUUCUGAUGAUCACGGGACUCAUUUCUGGAAUCAUAUUUAUUUUCCUCCUGUUCCUGUUCCUGUACAAAAAAGUCUACAAAAAGAAAUGUUCUGCUGAUGACCCGAGGGUGAGUCAGGAUGAAAAUCAACAACAAGUCUACUCCUCUCUUUUUCAUGGUGAGGAUUCUGUCUAUGAAACAAUCAGAGACUCUGGAAAUACUCAGAAUGCUGGGUGACCUGUGUGAUGUAGGUCCAGUGGGUCCUUCUUGUGGAAACUCAACGAUUCUUUCUAUCCAAAGUGGGCGAACUAUGAGAAGUGACGGUAGUUUGAUCAUCUCCUUUCCUCAUAACUGAAAAGUUAUUCUCACUCUCAAACAUCAGACCUUUGUCAGGUCCCAUUCACUCAUAUUUGCCACCAUUCACGGACCAUCAAGUUGCAAACUAUGGGCACAAAUAUACAUUAACGUUUUCUAGUAAAGUAUUUAGGUUUAACGUUUAGCUAAACAUCCGAAAUAUGUUUAAAAAAAUGUUCUCUGAUGUUUUGUUUUCAUACUAUUUAUGUUUUAAUUUCUCACAAAUGUAAAAAAAAGUCCAUAUCCAAAAAUGACCAUGCAAACAUUAAAUAUAAGUGAGGCAACUCUCUAAAAGGUUCAUUAAUUACAUUACCUGUGU